AUUGGGGUGGCUCAGUGGUUAAGGCUUUGUAUUACAGCUAAGAAGGUUGUGUGUUCAAAUCCCAACAUCAUCA